rnacentral:lncRNA from 1 species
AACAGCGAAUGGUCAUGCUUUCUUGAUCUGCUAAAGCUGAUUAACAUUUUAGUGGCAUUUUUCCAUGCAACACUUCAACACAGGAAAAUCAAAAGAUAAAUAGAUAUUAAAUGUGUUUGUUUUUUUUUUUUUCUUUUUUUUUUUUUUUCCCUAACUUAUCUUCAAAUCAGAUGAAAGCUUCAGCCAUAUCAGCUCAUCCCAUAAAAUAUAAUUCUAUUAUUUAUUUUUCUCUAACAUGGUCUCUUCUCUUGAAGGAGCACAGAGUAUUAAUGAUGCCCUUCAUGCUAAGACAAGAUGGACAGGUCUUCAUGAAGAGAUGUCUUACUCAGAGAAACCAGAACAUGGCCUGCAAAUCUGAAUCAAUGUGAGAAGUUCAGAGAAAAAGAACAAUAUAGAGAUAAUUCAAUCUUUCCUGUCUUUGUGGCAAAUAAGAGGUUUUGAACAUGUAUGAG